AUUGAACGCUGGCGGCAUGCCUUACACAUGCAAGUCGAACGGUAACAGGUCUUCGGACGCUGACGAGUGGCGAACGGGUGAGUAAUACAUCGGAACGUGCCCAGUCGUGGGGGAUAACUACUCGAAAGAGUAGCUAAUACCGCAUACGAUCUGAGGAUGAAAGCGGGGGACCUUCGGGCCUCGCGCGAUUGGAGCGGCCGAUGGCAGAUUAGGUAGUUGGUGGGAUAAAAGCUUACCAAGCCGACGAUCUGUAGCUGGUCUGAGAGGACGACCAGCCACACUGGGACUGAGACACGGCCCAGACUCCUACGGGAGGCAGCAGUGGGGAAUUUUGGACAAUGGGCGAAAGCCUGAUCCAGCAAUGCCGCGUGCAGGAUGAAGGCCUUCGGGUUGUAAACUGCUUUUGUACGGAACGAAAAAGCUCCCUCUAAUACAAGGGGGCCCA
rnacentral:rRNA from 1 species